AGAAGCCCAGGAAGCCAGCAGCUGUGGCCUCUCCAGGGGGUGGCUCAGGUCAGUGGGUUGCCAUGGCAACGCCACAGGCCCUGCCCCAGGGGCUGCUGGGUUCCAGGAAGCGGCCCUGCCCUGCCUCUGCUUUCAUUCCUUCCCUCAUUUACCAAAUAUUGAUUUAGCACCUACUGUUUGCCAGGCUCUGAGCAGCUAGUGAUGAACAUGGCAGACAAGGUCCCUGCUCUCAGAGAGCUUAUAUUCUGUGGCAGAGACAUUGACAAAUUAGCAAGAAGACAGCAGAAACUGGAGUCUCAAUCACAACAGGACACAGGUGAGCCUGAGAUGACACUAAUAUCAUUCUCCUGGAAUAUGACCUCCCAACACAAGCACCAUCACCUUCAUCAUCAUCAUCAUCAUCAUCACCAUCAUCAUCAUCACAGUGACGACUUGCCCAAGAUCACACAGUUGUUAAGCUGCUGAGCAGGGAUUUGAAUCUGACUCGAACCUAACUACUCACCUGUGGUUAUAUACUCGUAAUUAUAUAUACAUUAAAGUCUCA